UAAGAAGUGAACGUCACACUUUCAAUCUGUUGCUCAGGCUUUCUAUGCCUUGCGUGUGACACACUGCUCGCUUGGAUGCCUGCAAGCGGUCAAUGUGGGUCAAGCUGAGAGCUCUGCGGUUCACCCAGGAGAGGUGCACAAGAAAAUCCAGACUUUCGUCCGCAAAUAUCUUUUGUGCGAGAGACCUACAGAAGGGCUCUUUAUGUCCCUCUGUCCGGUGGUGGUCGCAAGCGAGGCCUGCACCGUUAUUGCCAUCACCAUAGUCUGAAGACCUACAGCAGGGCUCUGCCUGGCUCUGCGUCCCUCUGUCCAGUGGUGGUCGCAAGCGAGGCCUGCACCGUAAUUGCCAUCACCAUAGUCUGAAGACCUACAGCAGGGCUCUGCCUGGCUCUGCGUCCCUCUGUCCAGUGGUGGUCGCAAGCGAGGCCUGCACCGUAAUU